rnacentral:rRNA from 1 species
UACAGAGACCUCAAGCGUUAUCCGGAUUUAUUGGGCGUAAAGGGUCCGUAGGUGGUUUUAUUAGUCAUUCGUUAAAUCUUCAGGCUCAACCUGGAGGCCGCGGGUGAUACUGUAAGACUAGAGGGUGGGAGAGGUAGAUGGAAUUACUGGUGUAGCGGUAAAAUGCGUUAAUAUCAGUAAGAACACCAAAGGCGAAGGCAAUCUACUGGAACAUUCCUGACACUGAGGGACGAAAGCGUGGGUAGCGAAUCGG